GACGUAGGGGGCGAGCGUUAUCCGGAUUCACUGGGCGUAAAGGGCGCGCAGGUGGCUACGUAAGUCCGGCGUGAAAUCCCACGGCUCAACUGUGGAACUGCGUCGGAUACUGCGUUGGCUAGAGGACGGUAGAGGCUUUUGGAACUAGCGGUGUAGCGGUGAAAUGCGCAGAUAUCGCUAGGAACGCCGGUGGCGAAGGCGGAAGGCUGGGCCGUUCCUGACACUGAGGCGCGAAAGCUAGGGGAGCGAACCGG
rnacentral:rRNA from 1 species